rnacentral:tRNA from 1 species
UCCCUGGUGGUCCAGUGGUUAGGACUCUGCGCUUCCACUGCGGGGGCCGUGGGUUCAAUCCCUGGUUGAGGAA